AUUGAACGCUGGCGGCAGGCCUAACACAUGCAAGUCGAACGCGUGGCGGACGGGUGAGUAAUGUCUGGGACACUGCCCUAUGGAGGGGGAUAACUCUUGGAAACGGUAGCUAAUACCGCAUACCAUCGGAUGUUCCCAGAUGGGAUUAGCUAGUAGGUGGGGUAACGGCUCACCUAGGCGACGAUCCCUAGCUGGUCUGAGAGGAUGACCAGCCACACUGGAACGUAGACACGGUCCAGACUCCGACGGGAGGCAGCAGUGGGGAAUAUUUCACAAUGGGCGCAAGCCUGAGGCAGCCAUGCCGCGUGUAGGAAGAAGGCCUUCGGGUUGUAAAGUACUUUCAGCGAGGAGGCGUUACUCGCAGAAGAAGCACCGGCUAACUCCGUGCCAGCCGCCGCGGUAAUAC
rnacentral:rRNA from 1 species